UACGUAGGGGGCGAGCGUUGUCCGGAUUUACUGGGCGUAAAGAGCGCGUAGGCGGCCUGGUAGGUUGGGGGUCAAAGGUGCGGGCUUAACCUGCACAGGUCUCCCAAGACCGUCAGGCUGUGAGGGCAGUAGAGGAAGGUGGAAUUCCGGGUGUAGUGGUGAAAUGCGUAGAGAUCCGGAGGAACACCGGCGGCGAAGGCGGCCUUCUGGGCUGACCCUGACGCUGAGGCGCGAAAGCGUGGGGAGCGAACUGA
rnacentral:rRNA from 1 species